CCAGACUCCUACGGGAGGCAGCAGUGAGGAAUAUUGGUCAAUGGUCGGAAGACUGAACCAGCCAUGCCGCGUGCAGGAAGAAUGCCUUAUGGGUUGUAAACUGCUUUUAUAUGGGAAGAAUAAGGAGUACGUGUACUUUGAUGACGGUACCUUACGAAUAAGCAUCGGCUAACUCCGUGCCAGCAGCCGCGGUAAUACGGAGGAUGCGAGCGUUAUUCGGAAUCAUUGGGUUUAAAGGGUCUGUAGGCGGGCUAUUAAGUCAGGGGUGAAAGGUUUCAGCUUAACUGAGAAAUUGCCUUUGAUACUGGUAGUCUUGAAUAUCUGUGAAGUUCUUGGAAUGUGUAGUGUAGCGGUGAAAUGCUUAGAUAUUACACAGAACACCGAUUGCGGAGGCAGGGGACUAACAGAUGAUUGACGCUGAGAGACGAAAGCGUGGGGAGCGAACAGGAUUAGAUACCCUGGUAGUCCACGCUGUAAACGAUGGAUACUAGCUGUUUGGAGUAAUUUGAGUGGCUAAGCGAAAGUGAUAAGUAUCCCACCUGGGGAGUACGCACGCAAGUGUGAAACUCAAAGGAAUUGACGGGGGCCCCGCACAAG
rnacentral:rRNA from 1 species